rnacentral:rRNA from 1 species
AGUGAACGCUGGCGAUAGGCCUAACACAUGCAAGUCGAACGCCAGCACAGUAAGAGCUUGCUCUUACGGGUGGCGAGUGGCGGGCGGGUGAGGAAUACAUCGGAACCUACUUUUUCGUGGGGGAUAACGUAGGGAAACUUACGCUAAUACCGCAUACGACCUACGGGUGAAACCAGGGAAUCUUCGCACCUUCCGCGCUACAAUGAGCCGAUGCCUUUUUAGCAAUUUGGGGGGGUAAAGGCCCACCAAGACGACGAUCCGCAGCGAGGCUGAGAGGAGGAUCGGCCACACUGGAACUGAGACACGGUCCAGACCCCUACGGGAGGCAGCAGUGGGGAAUAUUGGACAAAGGGCGCAAGCCGGAUCCAGCCAUCCCGGGGGGGUGAGGAAGUCUUUCGGGUGGUAAAGCCUUUUUGUUGGGAAAGAAAAGCGGCAGGUUAAAACCCCGAUGUUCUGACGGUACCCAAAGAAAAAGCAACGGCUAACUUCGUG